UGCUCCUACGGGGGGCAGCAGUGGGGGAUAUUGCACAAUGGGGGGAACCCUGAUGCAGCGACGCCGCGUGGGUGAAGGAGCGUUUCGGCGCGUAAAGCCCGAUCGGCAGGGAAGAAGGAGGACGGUACCUGACUAAAAAGCCCCGGCUAACUACGUGCCAGCAGCCGCGGGAAUAAGUAGGGGGCAAGCGUUAUCCGGAUUUACUGGGGGUAAAGGGGGCGCAGACGGCA
rnacentral:rRNA from 1 species